ACAAAAUGGCUUCAAACUUGGAGACUUCGCUUGCAGCAAAAUAAUCAGACACAAUAUCGGACUUUUCCUGUGAUGCUUUCAAUAAAUACGCGGCUCAGUUUUACUGUGAAGGGUGUUCUAAGUGUUACUGCAAUAAUUGUGUGAAACUACACAGCCAGCUAUUUAAUUCUCACUCUUUGUUCGGCAAAGAACAAAUGGAGAAAUGGCCGAUUACUAAGUCAACGUUAGACGUACUGGAGCAGUGUGAAGAGCAUAGCGAUGAAAAACUAAAACUGAUCUGUGAGGACCAUAGCCAACUUUGUUGACACAUUUGCGUGGCACUUCAUCACAGCCGUAAAACGGACCCAAUCCCAAAGCAAACGGACCAAAUCCUUAACCUAGGUGAAACUGUUAGACAAGAAAUACCCGUGUUUGAGCAACUUCACAGUGCCUCAGUAUUCAUAUGACAUGUGUCUAACAUCUCCGAGUGAGGUGGUUGGGUGGUUGUUACUUGUUACCACGAUAAGCAACCCAUUGGCGGUCCACACGGUCUUCACAUGAUAACUGUGCGGAAUGACAUGUUGGAGAAGGGAAGGACGCUUCAGCAGCAACACAGGUGUGUUGAUGUUACCCACCAUGAAGAUGCUCUGUUUGUAACUUCCGAGAAAGCUGUGUAUCAAUACACUCUGACUGGAUUAGUAAUACAGAAACUGUACGAGGACACGACAUGAUCUAAUACAGUGUACGAAUGUGCUGUUAACCUCAUGGGUGACAAGAUCUACGUAAACAACAUGGACAAACACACAGUUCUUACACUGGCCAUGGGUGGAGCAGUUAUCUCAACCUUUUCUGACACUGACCUAAAAUUCACAAGAGGUGUUCAUGUGACAGCUGGUGGACAUGUGCAUGUUUGUGGCUAUGCAUCAAACACGAUUAUACAGUUGGACAGCGAGGGAAAACAAGACGAUUUCCAUACUGGCUACUGAGAAGGACGAAGAAGACGGUCCAAGUGUAGUUUCUACAGUUACAGCACUGAUUCAGUGCUCGUAGUUGAUGAAAACAAUAUCAUUAUAGUUUUUUAAAGUAACAUAGGCAGGGACAGAACAAAUCAUGAAAUAGAACGAUAGAAAGUAUCAUCUUAGAAUUGGUUCUGUACUUAUUUUCAAAUGUAGAUUGCAAUGCAGCAAUACAUGUAUUUCAUUUUCAACGUUUUAUUUCGUGAUGUAAAUAUGGUAAAAAAAAACGAAACGACUUGUGUAAACAUGAAAAUCGCCAAAUUAAUUUAUUCAAGUAAUUGUUUCUUUUAUGUAAUCCUCAAACUUAAUUUGCUUGUUAGCAAGCCUAAGAAUUUUCUAGGUAUCGUACGAAAGCGAAAUGUGUAAACGGUGCUAUUUUCCUACAGAUCGAUUAACUGACGGACAGGUGCAAAGCAAUAUGCAUCCGCUUAUUCACAGUCGAGGGGAAUAUUGACCUCACGCACACAUUACGUAUCGGUGAUUUUAUUAUUUUAAUAUUUAUUCUCUUCCUGAACCUUUUAUAUAAUUCAUAAUUAAAAAAAUACAUGAAAAGUGUGGUUGCCCUAUUAUUCCCAGGUAAACAUUCACAUGUUACAAAUCGUCUCUGUAAUGAUUUUUUCAAACUUAUAACCCAAACUCAAAUCAGUGUGUUUUUU